CCUUUUAGGCCACAACGAUCACGACAUGCGACGGCUCGAGUUGGUGAGGUCCGGACGACGAGGCUGGUUUCGCACCUCGGCCUGCUUCGUUGGUUAGACCUAGGGAGUCCGGCCAAAGAGCGUCCUCCGUCGCAUCCCGCCACCGCGCCGUGGGCCGCCCCAGUGCCCUCGUGUCCAACCGUUCAAUCUCGCUAAACCCUUCGUGUCCGAAACCUAAACCUCAGCACGCGCGGGGGCAACUGUAAAAAAGAUCGAGGCGGUGACGCCACAUGAUCACCUUACGAAUGCUCGUUUACUCCUUCUCGACACCGGAGUUGAGGCCGGGGCCCGCCGGGAAGUUGCUGGCGGCCACCGACGAGGGGAAGGAGCGCUCGGAGGAGCACAGCCAGUGGGAGAAGGACCGGCGGCGGACGCCGGAGAAGAGUGGCGGGAUAAACCGGCCGCUGCUGCGGAAGGAGCAGCUGCAGCAGAGCAAGUGGCUGACCCUGCUACCUCCGAGUGGCAGCGUCGCUCUGUCGCCGGUCAGUCACCUUGGGCUCCGGUUCCUGGGCGACGACCUACUGUUGCUGUUGGGGCUGUUGCGGCGGCACUUGAGCCUGCUGAGGCUGCGGCUCGGCGGGUCCGACCGCAUAGAGGACCUCCCGUGGUUCCCGCUGCCGGACGCCUACGCCUCCCACGACGUCCGCUAUAUGGUGGGCGCGUUGGUCAUGUAGGACGUGAACCUAGACCUCCGCGGCGGGGCCCUCUCCUAACUGGACCGGUACAUGCAGUUCCCCCUGGGCUACAAGUCGGUCCAGCCCUUACACGCCCACUAGCGGUUCCCGUUGGACCAGUGCAUGUUCCCCGGCUGCUACCAGCGGACGUGCGAGGUGCGGCACCGCUAGGAGGAGUUUCUUCCGAACCUCACCCUGACCAAGUAGUUGGAGUCGCGGAGCCUAAUAGGGGAGUACUGCGUUCUACUAUAUGAAGUACACAAGAGCAGAAACGGUUCUUUAGAAUUAAAAUAUCUCGUGUACGUUUAUAGACCUACCUUUUCCUAGGUUUCUCGUUUUGGGUAUCAAGACCUGGGUCCCGAAAUAGACAGUUUUUUCAAACUGGAAAGAUGCUGUGGACUCGCCGCUCUUAACGGUUGUAGAAAGUUUAAUAUAUGACCAAGACGAACCUAUUACGAGUGCUUUAGGAAGGACCUCAUGACGUAUACCCCAACCCUAUUAGAGGGUGCGUGGGAGGACUACAUGAUACAGUUGAAGUAGAGGAGAGGUCUUCCAAUAAAGGUAUGACACUAGACGUUGAGACUACUCAAAGUCCCGUGACGUCAACCAGUACUGGACGUGAUGUAACGGACCCUGAUGGGACGUUUUGUCGUAGGCGACUGGGAGAGGUACUUCCUGAAGUUGUUGUACCAGUUCUCACCGCGCGGGAAACGUGCCUUCAAAGGUUUCCUUCUGUUUGUUCCAGAACCUGUCCUAGCUGGCACUCGAAGACGUGGCGAGACUUCCGGCCAAGUGAGGACCCCGUACCACAUUACCCUCGAAACUUCCUCCCCGACUGGGAACAAACAGAUCUGUCCUUCUGAGACAAAAUCUCGGACCAGGUCCACGACUCUCCGACGCGCCGAACUACUUCUUCCACGACAGUACCCUAAUGGCGUUGCCGUCGACGAGUUGAGAGAGCAUGCUAGUUUGUUUCUCUCUGACCAUACAAGGGUUUUCAUUUCCUAUUAAAACUAACGGACGAACAUUUACUUUCUCGAACUGGGGAAGGUUACGACUACUCACGCAGUAAGACUGGUUCCUUUUACAACUUUACCACUACAAGUGUGGUGCUAUGUGUGAUGGUAGAGUACCUUUAAUUGUUAACACCUUGUGAAGUAAAAAUCAAGAUGUUAUAAACGACAUCAGGUUUGUUCUGUACCUAGGAACAUAGUAUAUACAAGAAAGAGACCAGUUCUAAAAAAGUACACAAGAACAACGUGAAACAAGUGUCCUUUUUUCUUCCUUGUAUAGGUUUAAGACUG
rnacentral:rRNA from 1 species